GCUCAUAUAGGUGUGAUUGUGAGCUGUCCACAUACCUUUAACCAUAUAGUGUGUAUGUAUAGCUACAGAGCAAGGGUGGCCAAACAAAAGCUAGAUCAUCAACUGUAGUAGAACUCCCACAAAGCCAGCUGUGGUUCUACGAUAUCUCCACCCUUGCAUCAUAUUGAUUGAUCAGGGUGUUGCAGUAGACAUUGCCUACUUAGAUUUCAGUAAGGCUUUUGAAACUGUCAUACAUUGAAGGCUUAUCAAUAAACUGCAAGCUUUGUUUGGAUUCCAAUAUUGUUAGAUGGGUUUGGCAGUUGCUCAGUGACAGGCAAUAGAGGGUUGUAGUCAAUAGAGUAUAUUCAAAGCAUAGUCUUGUCACCAGAGGGGUACCUCAGGGAUCUGUACUUGGACCCAUUCUCUUUAAUAAUAUUUUUAUUAGUGAUAUUGCAGAAGGUCUUGAUGGUAAGGUAUGUCUUUUGCUGAUGAUACAAAAAUAUGUUACAGGGUUGAUGUUCCAUGAGGGAUAAACCAAAUGGCAAAUUAUUUAGAUAAACUAGAAAAAUGCUCAGUGCUGUGGCAACUGACAUUUAAUGUGGAUAAGCGCAAG